rnacentral:piRNA from 1 species
UUGAGGCUCAGGUGGGCAUCAUGGUC